UUGUGUGUGAGAACUAGAGUUGUGUGAGAACUAGACUUGUGUGUAAGAACUAGAGUUGUGUGUAAGAACUAGAGUUUUGUGUGAGAACUAGAGUUGUGUGAGAACUAGAGUUGUGUUUGAACUGGAGUUGUGUGUGAGCUAGAAUUGAGAGUAUGAACUAAAGUUGUGUGUCAACUAGAGUUGUGUGAGAACUAGAGACAUGUGUGAACUACAGCCGGUUGUAAGUUAUUUUUUCCAAUUUCUUUUCGGAUCACGGUAUUGUCGUUCAUUUGUCGAUUAUCAUAAAACAGUGUUCAAGGCAGUUACAUCAUGGAGUUCAACGUUCACAGCUUCUUGGAUUUAAGGGAUUGUGUAAAAAGAAGUCCAAUAUGUAACAAUCUUCUGGUCCUUUUGAAUCUAGACGACGAGAUGAGGGUAUAACCACGAGGAGCAGUAAACUGAAAACUUACGAAGUAACAUCGACGACCCUGAAAAAGGGUUCAAUACGAAGUUGAUCAAAUUUAACAGUGCAUGGUCUUCAUAACUCUUUAUUUCAGGACUGCAAGUAGACACAUCGAGCACAGUAAGUCGUGUUAUUUGAGUGUCCUGCUGUCGCCGAAAAUACUUAUAUCUAUUUACAUUCUACUGGAAAUCUCAUUCCAGGAGCUACUUAAAGCCUAAAGUAGAAUAGUUUAAACAUGAAAAAUGUUUAUUUUCUACAUCUUGACUUUUCAUCCAGGAACAAAGUUACUGUGGUCAUAUGCUGGUGAGUGAACAUUUUGCAUUGUCGGAUGUUAACCGGAAUUGUUGGUGUUUUUUAAAUAGCAGUGAUAUACUGAUAAUGAAAGCCAUUAUUCUUUCAGACGAUACCAUAAAGCUGAAGUCUGAUGUCAAGACACACUUUGGUACUAGAAAGAACCAUAAUGGCAUUGAUUUAUUAAGUCCAAAGCAUGGGAUUCUCCCCAGAUCCUGUGUUGUCUCAAUAUGAGAAAAUAGUAUAAACAAAAAUUCAAGCAUUUUUCUUCAUGUCGACAUGUAGUUUGUUACUGCGUUAACAUUAUUUUUGUGUUUUCUUCGUCUUGGCUGUUACUUGCAGGUGCCCGUUUUGACCCCCUCCCCCCCGGUCCGUGUCUCGCAUUGUUUCCAGAAACUUCAUUUAUUUGAUACAGUUGAUAAUAAAUGACAAGAAAAACUCAAUACUUCAUCUUAGACUUUAAUAAAACGAGACUUCAAAUAAAGAUAAAGCUGUUGUAAAAUUAUUCAAAUAUUACAGGGAAAAUCAAGACAGUUGUCAUUUACCUGUACAGCCCGUUUCAUCUGUUGGCACCUCCUUAAUGCUUACAGUAAUUAAUAUAGCUUCUGUGUAAUUACAAUCUAUGUUGAUUACAUUCAUCAAAACACAACCAAUGUUCAGUAACAACCUGAUUAUCUUUCUCUGUCCGUCUAAUAAAGCAUGGUAUUUCUAGACUGACAGUUUGAAUUUGCAAAAAGACGAAACAACACACUGUCAAGUACUUACAUAUUGAAAUCAACACGCACUUCUUUCAAAAGUCUACUGGGUGUUCUAAAGAAAUCUAUUACAAUUCAAUACGUUGUUGAUGUUUUGAUCUUUAAACGCACACACUUUAUAGCACCUCCAUUUCAAAUGUGACGUACAUCGUGACUGUUUGAUCUGAGGAUAUCUAUGGUACGAACGAAAUAUCACUACAUGUAAAUGUACACCAAAUGAUACGGCAAAACAUUCAACUAACCAAGUUAGGUGUGUAUCAACAAGGGGAGGGGCUAUGUAGUAUUUAUAAACAUCUAGGGCAGCUAACGUAUUACUGUCUCGUUAAACUGAAAAUAGCGAAAUUUGCGGAAUAAACGAAACUCCUGACUUGUAAAUUCUGACAUUCCAGUUGAUUAAGAAAAGGCGAGGAUAACGAACAGUGAUCAAUCUCAUAACUCCUAUAAGGAAUAUGAAACUAAGAGUUGAGCAAAGAAAGUAGAAGCGAACACACGUUUUUGAUUUUUAAAAAAUCAAGGGCAAUGGAAUUUUUCGAAAAGCUCAGACAUUUCUAGAAAUUGUCAUAUUCUUCAUUAAUACAAGAACACAAGAUCUGACAUUCUCUGUGGUCUAAAAUAUCUCCAUGUGAAUUUGGACGGACUGGCCUUUUGUCGCGUUGGUAUCACACACGCCGUCAUGUAUCCGUUCUCUGUGUAGAAUCCCUCUCCCCUAUCAGGGCUUCCUGUGAUGUUUCGGAUCCGUUACUGUCCCGCGAAUUCACGUUACCAGGCCUCUCCACCACGCGCACGUCACUAGGCCUCUCCACCACGCGCACGUCACUAGGCCUCUCCACCACACCUUCGUCACCAGGCAUUUCCACCACGAUUUCUUGCAAUGGUAUACUGUCUACUGCCCGCUGUGUUGCGUUUGAUAACGUAGCAUGGAUGCCAGAAUCCGACAGAGUUUGCAGAUGAGGAAGGAACUCAUGCAUACCAUUUUGAAGGAAAUGCAAAUUCGGAAUGUUUUCUUUGGUCGUGUCUUUUCUGUUUGUGUUCAGUUUCUCGUCAUCAACCAUACAUAGAUUCUUGUUGUCAUAACGACGGAGGUAUCC